GACGAACGCUGGCGGCGUGCUUAACACAUGCAAGUCGAACGGGAGUAUUGAAGAAGCUUGCUUUAGAGAUACUUUAGUGGCGGACGGGUGAGUAACGCGUGAGGAGCUGUCCUAUGCAGGGGGACAACAGUUGGAAACGACUGCUAAUACCCCAUAAGCCGAGAGGUAAAGGGAUUUAUCCGGCAGAGGAGGUACUCGCGUCCUAUCAGCUAGUAGGUGAGGUAACGGCUCACCUAGGCGAAGACGGGUAGCCGGCCUGAGAGGGCGAACGGCCACACUGGAACUGAGAUACGGUCCAGACUCCUACGGGAGGCAGCAGUGGGGAAUAUCGGGCAAUGGGGGGAACCCUGACCCAGCGACGCCGCGUGGGUGAAGAAAUCCUUCGGGAUGUAAAGCCCUGUUGUAUGGGAAGAGCGGAAGACGGUACCAUACGAGGAAGCCCCGGCAAACUACGUGCCAGCCGCCGCAGUAA
rnacentral:rRNA from 1 species